CCCAGCGGGCCCCUGCAAUACUUAUCUUUUUCAUCCUUUCUUCGCCUCGCACGAUGACCAAAAAUGUCGGUCUCUUUACUCCAACCCUACGUUUACACGAUGUGCGCUAUAAGUCAGGGCAUUAAGCAACGUGAUCUUACAUUAUUUAGCCUUUACUUUGUCUUCUAACCCUGAUUUAAUUCUUCAUUUGGUGGUAGAUGUGGAAAAAUACCAGGGAGAUCAGUUUAGGUUGGUAUACUUUUUCUUUAGGCUUAAAGGCAGUUUAUGGAUUCUCACAACUUGGAUAUAUCAGAUGUGGGUCUAUGGAUUGCUGACUUGCAAGUUUCAACAUUAAAGGCCAUGUUUCCCUAAAUCCCACCUUUCAGAUGUGAAGAAAACUGAAAAACUAUACCAGGGAGAUCAUCCAGGUGUGCCAGGUAUAUCAAAAAAGAUUGCAUAUUCAAGUUGAAAAUACUGCAGAGGAUACCAGAAGGUAUUGAGGAGAAAGGAGAAGUGAAGGAGAUAGUGAAUUUGGGAAUUGAAUCAGCUUUAGCCAUUAAAUCAUGGGGGUUUCGGUUUAUUAUUUAAUCCACUUUGGCAUCGGAAGUCAUUCACAAGUUCUUUUGGACAAAACAGCCCACAUAAUGGAGCUAGAAAAAGAUAUGAUUAGUGAUUUUGAAGAAGGGCAAAAACAACUGCAACAAGUUGGGAAGAACAAGUUCUAUGUUUUCUAUUUAUUGACAAUGUGGUUCACCAUGAUUCUAUCAAACAGCCAGUACAAAUAUUCUAUCUCCCAGCAAGUAAGUACAAGUCAACAUGGGCUUAAUGCAGGUUAUGAAAGAAUUCAACUUGAGGAUGCUUGUAACAUGUCAAGAAAAGAACAUGAGUUGUCUACUUUUCAUCAAAGAGUCCAAGAGGCUAAGGAAGCCUUCCUUGACAUAUGUGCAUAUUUUCAUUGCCUGGAUUAAGAUCUUGUUGGUCAUACUGCAGAUUAAAGGAAAUGUGGAGCUCUUCACAAGGGAGUGCCUAAAAAUAAGAAUCACUUAGAUGAAGUGAUUGUUCACAAUGUCCUUUGCUUGAUGGGAAUGAAAAUGAUAAAAGGAGACAAGGAUUACAAAUCAUAGGUAUUUUUGGAUGUAGUGGAAGAUGAAUCAAAGUUUAAAAAAGUGUAAAAUGGAAUAAGCAUUUUUGAUGAUACAUUUUUAAUCACAAUUAAUAUCACACAUUUAAAAGUCAUGGAUCGUUCCUUGAGAGUUCUAAGGCUAGGAGAUUGGGUGGAGAGCACGUAAAAACCGUUUGCAUCUAUAUGUGGAGGAUGUGAUUGUUUUUCAAUUUAGAGAUGCUUUUGAAUUGAAGAAGCUCACAGUUUUCUUGAUAACAUCUUUUGGUUGAUGUGAUUGUUUUUUCCAUUUCAAGACACUUUAAAUUGCAGAAGCUCAUUGUUUUUUCCAUUUCAAGACACUUCAAAUGCAGAAGUUCACAGUUUUCUUGAUGACAUCCUUUGGUUGAUGGGAAUGAAGACUAAGAUUACACAUUUUUAAUCACAAUUAAUACCACACAUUUGAAAGUCAUGGAUCGUUCCUUGAGAGUUCUAAGGCUAGGAAAUUGGGUGAGAGCACGUAAAAACCGUAUGCAUCUAUAUGUGGAGGACAUGAUUGUUUUUCAAUUUAGAGAUGCUUCCGAAUUGAAGAAGCUCACAGUUUUCUUGAUAACUUCUUUUGGUUGAUGUGGUUGUUUUUUCCAUUUCAAGACACUUCAAAUGCAGAAGCUCACAGUUUUCUUGAUGACAUCCUUUGGUUGAUGGGAAUGAAGACUAGGAUUACAAAUUACUGGAUAUUAUUGGAUGCAGUAGAUUGAAAACAGAAAAAAAAUGAUAAUACAUUGAUAAUAUGUAUUUAAAAGUUAUGAACAGUUUCUUCAAGGUUCUAAUGCUAGCAAAAUUGGGUGGUACUAAAUAUUUCAUAUGUCAGAACAUAUAAAGAUAAAGAUUUCACAUGUUUAUGUGUGGGGGGUGUGACUGCUUUUCCAUUUAAGGAUGGUUCCAAAUUGGAGUGAUGGUUCGUUAAGGUCUCAGGCUAGGAAAUUGGGUGGUACUCAGGAUUUAAAAAUUUCACUUGUUUCUGUGUGGGAUUGUGACUCUUCUUCCAUUUAAAGACGUUUUAAAAGUGGAGAAUCUUGCAAUUUUGUUGAUGACAUACUUAGGUUGGAAUGAAAAUGGGAAAGCAAAGAAGGAUUUCUCAAAUUACAGGGAGUUUGUGAUGCAGUUGAAGGUGGAUCGGAGCUUUAAAGUGUUAAUACAUCUUUGAUUCCAAUUGUAUACACACAUUUAAAUUCCAUGGAUCAUUCCUUAAAGGAGAUUGGGUAAUAGCAAUAUUCGUGAGACAGAAUCAAAAAAUCUGAGAUCUCUGCGUGAUGGACCCGACUGUUUAUCUCUUUAGAGAUGCUUUCGAAUAACAAUUUCUUCAGUGGCUCCAAGCCGGGCAUGGAUUUACAUAAAGUGGUGAAAAAGCUGAUCUAAGAAUGAAACUAAUACGGUUGGAUCCUGGGACUUUCCUGCUGGUUACAGUUGAGGCUGGGUUCAAUCCCAGUUGCGUUUCCUACAGAAUAGGAGAUUGGGUGAGAGCAUUUAAAAACUAUAUGGAUCUUUGUGUGAGAGCAUUUAAAAACUAUAUGGAUCUUUGUGCGACUUUCCAGUUGGUUACAGUUGAUGCUGGAUUCAACCCUUAGCAACUAUCCUGAGUUUUUUGAGGAGAAAAAUGAGAGGAAUUAACAUCCUAGGAUGGUGUUUUCUUUUGUUUUCCCAUUGUACUAAGAUUUAUGAAGUUUGGGAAGUUUGCUUUUCAA